UACAGAGGUCCCAAGCGUUGUUCGGAUUCACUGGGCGUAAAGGGUGCGUAGGUGGUCGGGUAAGUCUGGUGUGAAAUCUCCGAGCUUAACUCGGAAAUGGCAUUGGAUACUAUUCGACUGGAGGGUUGGAGGGGGGACUGGAAUUCUCGGUGUAGCAGUGAAAUGCGUAGAUAUCGAGAGGAACACCAGUGGCGAAGGCGAGUCCCUAGACAACUCCUGACACUGAGGCACGAAAGCUAGGGGAGCAAACAGG
rnacentral:rRNA from 1 species